UACUGAUAGAAUGAGAUAAUAACUUUAAAUUAGGAUUAAGUUAAGAUUAGGAGAAUAGUCGAUGUAUAGAUGACGACGAAUGUGAGAACAAGGUAAUAAGAUUAUAAAGUCGUAUUAAAUGAGAAGAAUAAUUACGAAAGAGUUAAUGACGAUGGUGGGGAAGAACCUAGUUGGAUAGAGAGGAGACAUUAUAUGUAAUGAUAAAGAAUUAGAAUACAUCUUGAGACUAAGAAUGAGUAAUAGGUUAUGCUAUCAGAAGUAAAGUAUAUAGAGAGCCUAUAAUAGAUGAAGGGAUAGAGUAUGUCGG
rnacentral:lncRNA from 1 species